rnacentral:rRNA from 1 species
CAUGGUCUUAGCUUGCUAAGGCCGAUGGCGACCGGCGCACGGGUGAGUAACACGUAUCCCACCUGCCGUCUACUCUUGGACAGCCUUCUGAAAGGAAGAUUAAUACAAGAUGGCAUCAUGAGUUCGCAUGUUCACAUGAUUAAAGGUAUUCCGGUAGACGAUGGGGAUGCGUUCCAUUAGAUAGUAGGCGGGGUAACGGCCCACCUAGUCUUCGAUGGAUAGGGGUUCUGAGAGGAAGGUCCCCCACAUUGGAACUGAGACACGGUCCAAACUCCUACGGGAGGCAGCAGUGAGGAAUAUUGGUCAAUGGGCGAGAGCCUGAACCAGCCAAGUAGCGUGAAGGAUGACUGCCCUAUGGGUUGUAAACUUCUUUUAUAAAGGAAUAAAGUCGGGUAUGUAUACCCGUUUGCAUGUACUUUAUGAAUAAGGAUCGGCUAACUCCGUGCCAGCAGCCGCGGUAAUACGGAGGAUCCGAGCGUUAUCCGGAUUUAUUGGGUUUAAAGGGAGCGUAGAUGGAUGUUUAAGUCAGUUGUGAAAGUUUGCGGCUCAACCGUAAAAUUGCAGUUGAUACUGGAUAUCUUGAGUGCAGUUGAGGCAGGCGGAAUUCGUGGUGUAGCGGUGAAAUGCUUAGAUAUCACGAAGAACUCCGAUUG